GGGUUGUGAGGUUAAGCGACUAAGCGUACACGGUGGAUGCCCUGGCAGUCAGAGGCGAUGAAGGACGUGCUAAUCUGCGAAAAGCGACGGCGAGGUGAUAUGAACCUUUGACCCGUCGAUGUCCGAAUGGGGAAACCCAGUGCAAUUCGUUGCACUAUCGUUAACUGAAUACAUAGGUUAACGAGGCGAACCGGGGGAACUGAAACAUCUAAGUACCCCGAGGAAAAGAAAUCAACCGAGAUUCCCCCAGUAGCGGCGAGCGAACGGGGAGCAGCCCGGAGUCUGAAUCAGCUUGUGUGUUAGUGGAAGCGUCUGGAAAGUCGCACGGUACAGGGUGACAGUCCCGUACACGAAAAUGCACAGGUUGUGAACUCGAAGAGUAGGGCGGGACACGUGGUAUCCUGUCUGAAUAUGGGGGGACCAUCCUCCAAGGCUAAAUACUCCUGACUGACCGAUAGUGAACCAGUACCGUGAGGGAAAGGCGAAAAGAACCCCGGCGAGGGGAGUGAAAAAGAACCUGAAACCGUGUACGUACAAGCAGUGGGAGCACCUUCGUGGUGUGACUGCGUACCUUUUGUAUAAUGGGUCAGCGACUUAUAUUCUGUAGCAAGGUUAACCGUAUAGGGGAGCCGCAGGGAAACCGAGUCUUAACUGGGCGUUAAGUUGCAGGGUAUAGACCCGAAACCCGGUGAUCUAGCCAUGGGCAGGUUGAAGGUUGGGUAACACUAACUGGAGGACCGAACCGACUAAUGUUGAAAAAUUAGCGGAUGACCUGUGGCUGGGGGUGAAAGGCCAAUCAAACCGGGAGAUAGCUGGUUCUCCCCGAAAGCUAUUUAGGUAGCGCCUCGUGAACUCAUCUUCGGGGGUAGAGCACUGUUUCGGCUAGGGGGCCAUCCCGGCUUACCAACCCGAUGCAAACUACGAAUACCGAAGAAUGUUAUCACGGGAGACACACGGCGGGUGCUAACGUCCGUCGUGAAGAGGGAAACAACCCAGACCGCCAGCUAAGGUCCCAAAGUCAUGGUUAAGUGGGAAACGAUGUGGGAAGGCACAGACAGCCAGGAUGUUGGCUUAGAAGCAGCCAUCAUUUAAAGAAAGCGUAAUAGCUCACUGGUCGAGUCGGCCUGCGCGGAAGAUGUAACGGGGCUAAACCAUGCACCGAAGCUGCGGCAGCGAC
rnacentral:rRNA from 1 species